rnacentral:rRNA from 1 species
UAUUAUUUUAUUAAAAAUAUUUAUUAAAUAGUUUAAGUAGCUUUAAGUGAAUUAAUAAUUUUUAUUAUAGUUUAUUAGUACCGGGAGGGAAUUUUGAAAUAUUUGAAAAUUUAAUAUAAGAAAAGAAAAUUUAAUUUGUUGUACCUUGUGUGUCAGGGUUUAUUAAAUAAAGAUUAUUUAUAUAAAAUUUUCUCGAAAAUAAAAGAGCUAAAAGUCUAUGAUAGUUAUUGUUACAAAAUUAUUAUUAAUAGAUUUUUUGGAAUGAAAUGUUAUUCGGUUUUUUUGGAUAAUUCUUAGUUUUUUUUAAAGAAAAUAAAAUUUAAUUUAGUUAUUUUUUGAUUUAUGGAGUUAUUUUAAAUAGUUCUCUGAUUAAGAAAAAAUUAUAUUUGACGGGAUGAGCUGUUAAGUAAAUAGUUAAAAGUUUUUUUUUGUAUUAAAUAUAUUUAUGCUUAAAAAUAGCAAUAAUUUUUAAUUUUGUUAUAAUUUAUAUUUUUAUGGUAUUAUUUAUUUGACUUUAAGUUUAUAUUAGAAUUUUGGGAUUAAUAUUUUAUCUCAAUUAAUAAUGAUAAAAUUAGUAUAUUAUAAUUGUUUAUGUAAUUAAUUUAUGAAAGGUUUUUCUAAAUAAUUCGGCAAAUUUUGUAUCCGCCUGUUUAACAAAAACAUGUCUUUUUGAAUUUAAAUAAAAAGUCUGUUCUGCCCCCUGAUUUAUUAAAUGGCCGCAGUAUAUUAACUGUGCAAAGGUAGCAUAAUCAUUAGUUUUUUAAUUGGAGACUCGUAUGAAUGAUUGGACGAGAUACAGACUGUUUCAGAAGAAAAAUUAGAACUUUAUUUUUUAGUUAAAAAGCUAAAAUUUUUUUAAAAGACGAGAAGACCCUAUAGAUCUUUAUUAUUAUUUUAUUAUUAAUUUUGAGGAAUUUUUUUUAUAGUAAUAAAUUUAAUAAUUUUGUUGGGGGUGACAUUGAAAUUUUUUUAACUUUUGAUUAAAUAAACCAUUAAUUUAUGAUUUUAUGAUCCAUUAUUAUUGAUUAAAAAUUUAAGUUACCUUUAGGGAUAAACAGCGUAAUUAUUUUGGAGAGUUCUCAUCGAUAAAAUAGUUUGCGACCUCGAUGUUGGAUUAAGAUUAAUACUGGGCGUAGCUGUUCAGGGUAUUGAGUCUGUUCGACUUUUAAUUUCUUACAUGAUCUGAGUUCAGACCGGCGUGAGCCAGGUUGGUUUCUAUCUUUAAAUUAUUUAAAUACUUUAGUACGAAAGGACCAGGUAUUAGGAAGUUACUUCUUUAUAAAUUGAAUUAUAUUAAUUUA